CUAUUGGAAAAAUGCAGAAUGUCUGGUUAUUUUAGCCACACACAGCUCAAAACUGUUCCUCGUUUUAAGGAAGGGUGGUGUGGCAGUAUUUAAACCCAGGAGCUGAUGACACUACUGCUAAAAAAACACAGAAGAAAAAGUAGUGUGUUUGCGUUUGUUUGUGUGUGUGUGUGUGUGUGUGUGUGUGUGUGUGUGUGUGUGUGUGUGUGUGUGUGUGUGUGUGCGUGCGUGCGCGCGUGGUUCGUUCGUUCUGUCUCCAGGCUAGUGGCUAAGUACUGAGGGCUUCAUCUAUCUAAAAGGAGUUAUUUCCAUCUGAAUUUGGCAGCACCGGGACACAGCAGCAGAGCGAGUCCACAUCCAGAAGACUGGAGCCGUGUUUCACUGACAGGCUGUCAGACUAAAGCCCUGAUGAGCUCAGCUGGGACAAACUGGUCUGAUGUUUAGGAACACAGAACGUUCAGAUGUUGGCGUUUCACGUCACCUACUGAGGAAGGAGACCCACCAGUAAAGAGAUGGUAGCUGGACCAGACCAAAAAUAUGACGAUGACAUCAUGGAACUGGUCUUUGGAAAAGUUUUCCCUGAACCAACUCCGUUUCUAGAUGAGGUAGAGAAGAUCUGCAUCUCACCAACCCUCUGGUCUCAGUAUUCAGACAACGGAGGUCUCCCACUGUUAUCCAGGACCAGUUUGAAGCCCACAUACUUCCCCUCCCUCAUCAUCAGGAAACAUCAAUCCGUUUCCUGAGGACAACAGAAGACGGCAGGAGGACAGGAACUCUGAGACCUAGACACCACCAGCACCGAGACACAAAGCACCUGUGUGCACAACGCCUGUUUUAACUACUAAAGCCUGUUUAUUAUAUUGUUCUACUUAUUUGCUGUUAGGUUAAUACUUAGAAAAUUUGUAUAUUAAUGUAAACAAUAAAAAAAAUCACUGAUUGUA